UACGAGGGGAGCAAGCGUUGUUCGGAUUUACUGGGCGUAAAGGGCGCGUAGGCGGCCACGACAAGUCACUUGUGAAAUCUCCGGGCUUAACUCGGAACGGUCAAGUGAUACUGUCGGGCUAGAGUGCAGAAGGGGCAACUGGAAUUCUCGGUGUAGCGGUGAAAUGCGCAGAUAUCGGGAGGAACACCGGUGGCGAAGGCGGUUCUCUGGGCCUGUACUGACGCUGAGGAGCGAAAGCGUGGGGAGCGAACAGG
rnacentral:rRNA from 1 species